CCAGCACACCAGGCUCCACCCAUCCAGGAACCAGCACACCAGGCUCCAUCCAUCCAGGAACCAGCACACCAGGUCUCAGCUGUGCAGCCACCACUGCGGGGUCCACAGCAACGUAAAAGACUACAAAAAAUCAAAGAUUGUCCUCACAAUCGGCUUGAAAUGUUCCCAGUCCGUGAAAUAAUAAAGACAAGGAAAAGAAAGGGGAGGACAGAACAUCUUUAUGACUGGCAGCCCUGCACAAUGUGAUAUGUUAAAUAGCUUUUGGUUAUGUAUGAUUACAUGCAUUUUAUUAUUGGGCUCUUGGAUCUAUCUGUGCCUGGAUCUCUCUGUACUGGCAGAAAGCAUUCACACACCAAUGUGUCCCUGAACAAGAUACUUAACCCCUAGUUGCUCCAGAGGCGUGCGACCUUUGACAUAAACAGCAUUUGUAAGUCGCUUUGGAUAAAAGCAUCAGCUAAAUGAAUAAAUGUAAUGUAAUGUACUGUUUUAAUUUGUGGGGAUUGUUGACAAGCCAUUGUCUUGGGUAGAGAUUAUUAAAGAAAAAUUGUACUGCAAACAGUUUUUGUAUGCUGUUUACAAUUGUGAGGAAACUGAUAU